UGGUACAGUACUAACAGGCUACUCAACAACAACAGACGAGAUUACAUUACCCCCCAUAAUCCCAGUUAAGGUGGAUGGAGAAGUUUUCUGGGCAUUUUUGGACACAGGAUCGGGCAUGAAUUUUAUUUCAAAGAAAGCAGUAAAGAAACUUCAAGUUUCUGCAGCACGACAUGAAUCGAAAGAAACCAUCACCAUUAAUGGAACAAAAAGACAGUCCAUGCUUAUUUACAAUGUAACAAUCGAAUCAUUAGAUGGAUCAACCAAGGAAGAUAUAGAGCUAGCCGGGUCGACAAUGAAAGAUUUCACAACAGUGAAAAAAUUGGACAUGAACAAACUUAAAUGGAAUUAUGAACACACAAAGGAUAAGAGGUUUUACAUGACAAGAGAUGGUGAAUAUCCAAUACACUUGAUCUUAGGUGACAACACCUUCUGCAAGAUUAAGACAGAGGAAAUCUACAAAGGAAAAGAUGGCGAUCCUAUCGUUGAAGGUACUUCGUUUGGUUGGAUUGUUCAUGGUGGUGAUAUUUCGAACAAUGUGUGUAUGUUUACAAGAGAACCAAAUGACUACGAGCAAUUGUAUACACUGGAUGUAGUUGGAAUUGAAGAUAGAGGGGAGAACGACCGAUUGGACGUUUAUCAUGAAUUUAAAGAAAACAUUACUCGGGCUGAUGACGGUAGAUAUCAAGUCAAAGUACCAUCGAUUCCAGGACAUUCUUUACCAAAAUAGCAAUCUAGAACCAAGUGGAAAGCGAUUAGCUAACGUAUGCAAAAAGAUCGAGCGAGAUGAGAAGGUAAACAACAAUUAUGAUGAAACAAUCGAGAAGCAAUUAGAAUCGGGUAUCAUUGAAGGUGCACCAGUGAAACCGAAUGGUGAACGAGUAGAUCAU